UGACUGUUUGCUCACCCCUACUCUCCUCCCUUCCUAACUGCUAGUCUUUGGUGGUUUUUGGACACGCAUACAUGUGUUGUGCUGUGCUAAGAUGGAGGUGUAUUAAAAGAAAUUCUGACUGCUGUUGGUGGUAGGGAGGAAGAACAACCAUGUUUCCACGUGAGGGAAUAGACCAAGUAAGGAGAGGGGGAAAAAAAGUAGUAACGUUAAGAGAAAAGUGAGUUCUAAAAUAGUAAAAAGAAAAUUUGAAAAUCAUUUUUUCGUUUUAGUGAAACCAAAAACCAAAAGAUAACAAACUUACCGAGCGCACCAUAAAUGAUCCUAAUUACUGUGUAGGAAGAAAAUAAACUCCUUGAUAGCCCAAUGUGUUAUUGUUAGAAUAAAAUAUUUUUAAAAUUGCAAAAAAUAUACAAUAGCCUAAAUUAGUAAUGGUAAAAGAUACAAUUCUUGAUUUCCUUGUUCAUAAGCAAAAUCACUAGGGCAACUUCUAUGAGAAAGAAUUUUAUUUGAUUGACAUUUGUUUUUCAUAGUAAUAAAAUGAGCUUCCCUCUUUUGACAUCAGUUGUUUAUUUAAAAUAGAUCAUAUACUAGGUAAGAUCCAAAAUAGCUUUUCAUUCAUCUUCUAAAAUCAUAGCUUCUAGGAUCAUCCUAUUUCUUCAUUAUACUUGCUGGUAUCCUACUGAGAUCUCCUCCAACAAAGAAGAUCUUGUUACUGGAUAUGCCUUGAAUGAUGUGGUACAUGUUCUCCAAAUAAUAUUGCUAAUUUACCUCCUCCAAUUUGACUAGCAGGGCAUAUGCACUACUAACAUCAUUCAUCUCUCCUCCAAGAACUAGCAAGACCAAGAUUAUUUUCUCUUAAUUAUAUUCACCGAACUAUUGCAUCUUUUGAACUCUUAUCUAUUCCACUCUAUUUUUUGCUCUUACCAACCCUCAGGUACCAAAGUUUAUAGCGUGCAAUCCCAAUUUCCUUCAAUUUCCCUUGCAUCUAUUUUGUCUAAUAAAUUGAAGCACAGUAACUUCCUCCUACCAAUCACGUCCAGCAACUCUGUUAACUCCUAGUAACAUUCCAAUAUUCUGCACUCCUAAAUCUAUCGUACUCAGAUGGACAGGUUCUCUUAUUCACAUCCAUGCAUUAUCAUAAUCAUACAGGGGCUCUUAUCUAUUUCUCCUAAAUUCUGAAUCAUAUAUAAAACCAAUGAUCACAAAUCCUUGCAUAAUUGACAUUAUUCUUU
rnacentral:misc_RNA from 1 species